UACGAAGGGGGCUAGCGUUGUUCGGAAUCACUGGGCGUAAAGCGCACGCAGGCGGAUCGUUAAGUCAGGGGUGAAAUGCCGAGGCUCAACCUCGGAACUGCCUUUGAUACUGGCGAUCUUAGAGUCCGGGAGAGGUGAGUGGAACUCCGAGUGUAGAGGUGAAAUUCGUAGAUAUUCGGAAGAACACCAGUGGCGAAGGCGGCUCACUGGCCCGGUACUGACGCGUCAGGUGCGAAAGCGUGGGGAGCAAACAGG
rnacentral:rRNA from 1 species